rnacentral:lncRNA from 1 species
UGCUCUUGCUUUUCUAGUUCUUUUAAUUGUGAUGUUAGGGUGUCAAUUUUGGAUCUUUCCUGCUUUCUCUUGUGAGCAUUUAGUGCUAUAAAUUUCCCUCUACACACUGCUUUGAAUGUGUCCCAGAGAUUCUGUUAUGUUGUGUCUUUGUUCUCGUUGGUUUCAAAGAACAUCUUUAUUUCUGCCUUCAUUUCGUUAUGUACCCAGUAGUCAUUCAGGAGCAGGUUGUUCAGUUUCCAUGUAUUUGAGCGGUUUUGAGUGAGUUUCUUAAUUCUGAGUCCUAAUUUGAUUGCACUGUGGUCUGAGAGAUAGUUUGUUAUAAUUUCUGUUCUUUUACAUUCGCUGAGAAGAGCUUUACUUCCAAGUAUGUGGUCAAUUUUGGUAUAGGUGUGGUGUGGUGCAGGAAAAAAUGUAUAUUCUGUUGAUUUGGGGUGGGGAGUUCUGUAGAUGUCUAUUAGGUCCGCUUGGUGCAGAGUUGAGUUCAAUUCCUGGGUAUCAUUAUUAACUUUCUGUCUCGUUGAUCUGUCUACUGUUGACAGUGGGGUGUUAAAGUCUCCUAUUAUUAAUGUGUGGGAGUCUAAGUCUCUUUGUGGGUCACUCAGGACUUGCUUUAUGAAUCUGGGUGCUCCUGUAUUAGGUGCAUAUAUAUUUAGGAUAGUUAGCUCUUCCUGUUGAAUUGAUCCCUUUACCAUUAUGUAAUGGCCUUCUUUGUCUCUUUUGAUCUUUGUUGGUUUAAAGUCUGUUUUAUCAGAGACUAGGUAUGCAACCCUUGCCUUUUUUUGUUUUCCAUUUGCUUGGUAGAUCUUCCUCCAUCCUUUUAUUUUGAGCCUGUGUGUGUCUCUGCACGUGUGAUGGGUUUCCUGAAUACAGCACACUGAUGGGUCUUGACUCUUUAUCCCAUUUGCCAGUCUGUGUCUUUUAAUUGGAGCAUUUAGUCCAUUUACAUUUAAGGUUAAUAUUGAUAUGUGUGAAUUUGAUCCUGUCAUUAUGAUGUUAGCUGGUUAUUUUGCUCGUUAGUUGAUACAGUUUCUUCCUAGUCUCGAUGGUCUUUACAUUUUGGCAUGAUUUUGCAGCGGCUGGUACUGGUUGUUCCUUUCCAUGUUUAGCGCUUCCUUCAGGAGGUCUUUUAGGGCAGGCCUGGUGGUGACAAAAUCUCUCAGCAUUUGUUUGUCUGUAAAGUAUUUUAUUUCUCCUUCACUUAUGAAGCUUAGUUUGUCUGGAUAUGAAAUUCUGGGUUCAAAAUUCUUUUCUUUAAGAAUGUUGAAUAUUGGCCACCACUCUCUUCUGGCUUGUAGGGUUUCUGCCGAGAGAUCCGCUGUUAGUCUGAUGGGCUUCCCUUUUUGGGUAACCCGACAUUUCUCUCUGGCCGCCCUUAAUAUUUUUUCCUUCAUUUCAACUUUGGUGAAUCUGACAAUUAUGUGUCUUGGAGUUGCUCUUCUCGAGGAGUAUCUUUGUGGCGUUCUCUGUAUUUCCUGAAUCUGAAUGUUGGCCUGACUUGCUAGAUUGGGGAAGUUCUCCUGGAUGAUAUCCUGCAGAGUGUUUUCCAACUUGGUUCCAUUCUCCCCAUCACUUUCAGGUACACCAAUCAGACGCAGAUUUGGUCUUUUCACAUAGUCCCAUAUUUCUUGGAGGCUUUGCUUGUUUCUUUUUAUUCUUUUUUCUCUAAACUUCCCUUCUCACUUCAUUUCAUUCACUUCAUCUUCCAUCGCCAAUACCCUUUCUUCCAGUUGAUCACAUUGGCUCCUGAGGCUUCUGCAUUCUUCACGUAGUUCUCGAGCCUUGGCUUUCAGCUCCCUUAAGCACUUCUCUGUAUUGGUUAUUCUAGUUAUACAUUCUUCUAAAUUUUUUUCAAAGUUUUCAACUUCUUUGCCUUUGGUUUGAAUGUCCUCCUGUAGCUCGGAGUAAUUUGAUCAUCUGAAGCCUUCUUCUCUCAGCUCGUCAAAGUCAUUCUCCAUCCAGCUUUGUUCUGUUGCUGGUGAGGAACUGCAUUCCUUUGGAGGAGGAGAGGUGCUCUGCUUUUUAGAGUUUCCAGUUUUUCUGCUCUGUUUUUUCCCCAUCUUUGUCGUUUUAUCUACUUUUGGUCUUUGAUGAUGGUGAUGUACAGAUGGGUUUUUGGUGUGGAUGUCCUUUCUGUUUGUUAGUUUUCCUUCUAACAGACAGGACCCUCAGCUGCAGGUCUGUUGGAGUACCCGGCCGUGUGAGGUGUCAGUCUGCCCCUGCUGGGGGUGCCUCCCAGUUAGGCUGCUCAGGGGUCAGGGAUCAGGGACCCACUUGAGGAG